rnacentral:lncRNA from 1 species
UUUGUUACAUCAUGGAACUGAGGAGUUGAGAGUUAUGAGAGCAGCAUCCCACAGAGGGGACAAAUGCAAGGCCAUUAUAGGAAAGGGUAAUAUAAGAUCUACUCACAAAUAAAGAUGAGCAUUUUGGAAAGGGCCUGGUGCUGCCCAUACUCCCCCUGGACCAUCCCUGCCCUCACAUAAACCAGUCAAUGAUGCUGAGGAACAUUCAGUAGCCAUCAAACAAGAAACACUCCGAGGAAACCAAUGAGUAGCACUUUCCCAUCUUUGCCUCAGGAACUCUGCCUCCUGGUAGGAAGGGUCCAGCAGAGUGGUGACCUGGUGAUAUAUAUAUAUAUAUAUAGGCUGUGCUGUCCAUCAUGCAGGCACUGGCCUGUUGAGGAACCAAUCACACUGAGGCCACUGAGAGUGAAUGACUGUUAUAAAUUAUUCUCUCGUCUGUGAUGAUUUUCUGGUGCCACAUGGAGUCACAUGGAGGAUGCAUAACCUGGAAGCACUAACUUACAUUGGUCUUCAGAUACAAGCAAAGUUCAAAUCUGUUUGAUUUCAUAAUGAUCCACUUCAACUUGAAAUGAUAGGAUUAGAGCCUGGAUUUUAUAGUGUAGUUAACUUUUUCAUAAAAUGUGUUACUGAAACUUCUGUUGUUGUUGUUGUUGUUGUUGUUGCUAUAUGUCAAAUUGCCUACUGCUGUAGUAAACAACCCACAUGAACUGACAAGGUCUCCUGCCUUUGAUGGAAACACAUGGUCUUGGGAGAAAUUAACCAGGUUAAAGGGAUUGUUAUCAGAGUGAUAGUUGAAUUUUGAGAAAAUGGGUGUGCCAACAUUUAAGACAUGAAAAAAAUAGAGGUUCUUAUAAUGUUUAUCUCUUGUACUUAAUAAAUUACCAUAAAGCUAAGAAGUAUUUGUAGAG